UACGUAGGGAGCAAGCGUUGUUCGGAUUUACUGGGCGUAAAGGGCGCGUAGGCGGCAAUUCAAGUCACUUGUGAAAUCUCCGGGCUUAACUCGGAACGGUCAAGUGAUACUGCUUUGCUAGAGUGCGGAAGGGGCAAUCGGAAUUCUCGGUGUAGCGGUGAAAUGCGUAGAUAUCGAGAGGAACACCUGAGGUGAAGACGGGUUGCUGGGCCGACACUGACGCUGACAGCGCGAAAGCCAGGGGAGCAAUCGGG
rnacentral:rRNA from 1 species